UGGGGAAUAUUGGACAAUGGGCGCAAGCCUGAUCCAGCCAUGCCGCGUGUGUGAAGAAGGCCUUUUGGUUGUAAAGCACUUUAAGCGAGGAGGAGGCUACUUGGAUUAAUACUCUAAGAUAGUGGACGUUACUCGCAGAAUAAGCACCGGCUAACUCUGUGCCAGCAGCCGCGGUAAUACAGAGGGUGCGAGCGUUAAUCGGAUUUACUGGGCGUAAAGCGUGCGUAGGCGGCUUCUUAAGUCGGAUGUGAAAUCCCUGAGCUUAACUUAGGAAUUGCAUUCGAUACUGGGAAGCUAGAGUAUGGGAGAGGAUGGUAGAAGUCCAGGUGUAGCGGUGAAAUGCGUAGAGAUCUGGAGGAAUACCGAUGGCGAAGGCAGCCAUCUGGCCUAAUACUGACGCUGAGGUACGAAAGCAUGGGGAGCAAACAGG
rnacentral:rRNA from 1 species